UACACAGUUCCCACUGCCACAAACAAAUCUACAGAGCCACAGCAACGGUGAUAAUGCGUUUGUCAUACAACUGUGGUCUAUGUUUAAUAUUUAUAGCCUUUUUAUUUUUGCUAAAAAUAGUACCUGCCCAAGGGUAUUCGCAUACUGGGGAUCGAUAAGAUCGCGGUGCGACAUUGGAUUUUAUUGCUUUAAAUGGGCUGUCGGCAAAUGGAUUGGAUGACGAAAUCGUGUCAAAUAAAUAUGUGAAAAGGCGUUUCAAAUAAAAUAAAUUUCCACCUUUUUGUCUCUUUAUUAUUUAUUUAUUUGAAAGGCUAAAAAAAUACACAAAAGUAUCGAGCAGAUAAAUAAACAGGCAAAUAAAUCGUUGUGCUAUAGACAGAAAACAUACCAAAUUGUUAGAAGUUCGAAAAAUUAGAUAGUGAAGAGAAUCUGUCUACUAUUAGGAUUCAUCGUCAAAAACACUGUGCCAGCCUUCCUCAUUUACUCAAUAAUCACGCGCCGAGCAGGUGAUCUAAGUCAGUUACGGUUUAUUCGGUUACUGCUGGUUGGCCAACUAUCGCAUCUUUGUGGUCUUUUGUUUGUACAUAUUUACAUAAGUGUAUGUAUGUAGGUACACUAUGGAGAAAAACUGAAUAUUUGGAUAUCAGAGAAACAAAGAAAUUGGCUUAUCAGCUCAAAGCGUAGGAAGAGGAUACCAUCUGCCAAACAUACCAUUUGUUGUAUAAACAAAGAAGAAUGUCAAAAACGAACGAGGUUUAAAAGAGCAUAGAAGAUUCCAAAAAAACAAAAAAAAAAUAAAAAUAAAUAAAAUGGGUAUUGUAAUUGGGAAGCAGAACAAUAUUAUAUUUAGCAUUAAGAAGCAUAAAAUGUAAAUUAUGAGGUGAAUGAAGGACCUUUCAAUUUAGAUUCUUUCAGGUUUCACUAUUUUUAUUCAAAAUACGGCUCUUAACAAUUACUAUAUUUAUGUGAAAAAUUGCAUUACUCAACUCCACCAUGAUCACUGCCACAGGUAAAAUAUUAAAAAAAAGCCAAACAGUCGGCUCAUGAAUGCCUAAUUGCUAAGAACGUCGAGAUACAGUCCGGUUCACAUGAGUAGAGGUCACUAACGCCAAUGCUACAAUGCCCGCCGAUUGAGAAGCCACGCGACCUUCCUGGAAGAAUUGUGUGUACAUCCGCCAUUUUAAAUGAUUAAAAUGAAAAAAGAAUGUAUAUUAUUUUAAUGUAUAAAUAAACUGU